CCGGAGCGGAACGGGGUCGCAGAGAAUCGGUGGCUGCGACUGUUUAUUAAAACACAGCACUCUGCAAACACGAAAGUGGACGUAUAGGGUGUGACGCCUGCCCGGUGCCGGAAGGUUAAGUGAUGGGGUGCAAGCUCUUGAUCGAAGCCCCGGUAAAACGGCGGCCGUAACAAUAACGGUCCUAAGGUAGCGAAAUUCCUUGUCGGGUAAGUUCCGACCUGCACGCAUGGGCGUAACGAUGGCGACAAUGGAUCCAGUAAUCAUGGCCUGUUUAUGGAAUAAAUAAUCUGUUGAUUGUAAACUGAAGGGCCAAUCACCGCGGAAAGGCGCUUGGUAACAGUUUGUAUUUUCGCGACAACCAAUGCAGCAGGCCACGGGCGACACGCAUCCUUCCAUCUAUCAGGUCGAGUUCUGGAUGGCGGUCUGGGCCGGCUGACUGCAGUUGACGAGCGA
rnacentral:rRNA from 1 species